GUGCCAGCAGCCGCGGUAAUACGUAGGGUGCAAGCGUUAAUCGGAAUUACUGGGCGUAAAGCGUGCGCAGGCGGUUAUGUAAGACAGAUGUGAAAUCCCCGGGCUUAACCUGGGAACUGCAUUUGUGACUGCAUAGCUAGAGUACGGUAGAGGGGGAUGGAAUUCCGCGUGUAGCAGUGAAAUGCGUAGAUAUGCGGAGGAACACCGAUGGCGAAGGCAAUCCCCUGGACCUGUACUGACGCUCAUGCACGAAAGCGUGGGGAGCAAACAGGAUUAGAUACCCCAGUAGUC
rnacentral:rRNA from 1 species